rnacentral:tRNA from 1 species
CCCUUUAGCUCAGUUGGUAGAGCAUGGUGUGUGCAACGCCAGGGUUGUGGGUUCGAUUCCCACGGGGG